rnacentral:rRNA from 1 species
UACGAAGGGGGCUAGCGUUGUUCGGAAUUACUGGGCGUAAAGGGCGCGUAGGCGGUGUGUCAAGUCAGGCGUGAAAGCCCCGGGCUCAACCUGGGAACAGCGCUUGAGACUGGCACGCUCGAGUUCGGGAGAGGAUGGUGGAAUUCCCAGUGUAGAGGUGAAAUUCGUAGAUAUUGGGAAGAACACCGAUGGCGAAGGCAGCCAUCUGGACCGGCAUUGACGCUGAUGAGCGAAAGCUAGGGGAGCAAACGGG